GUUAAAACACCAGUUCCCAUAGGAACACUGAAGUUAAGCAACAUUGAGCUUGGUCAGUACCUAGAUGGGUGACCACUUGGGAAUACCAGGUGCUGUAAG